rnacentral:rRNA from 1 species
CUAUGCGCCUUGCCAGCCCGCUCAGGUGUGCCAGCAGCCGCGGUAAUACGUAGGUGGCAAGCGUUAUCCGGAUUUACUGGGUGUAAAGGGCGUGUAGGCGGGAAAGCAAGUCAGAUGUGAAAACCAUGGGCUCAACCUGUGGCCUGCAUUUGAAACUGUUUUUCUUGAGUACUGGAGAGGCAGACGGAAUUCCUAGUGUAGCGGUGAAAUGCGUAGAUAUUAGGAGGAACACCAGUGGCGAAGGCGGUCUGCUGGACAGCAACUGACGCUGAGGCACGAAAGCGUGGGUAUCGAACAGG